UACGUAGGGUGCGAGCGUUAAUCGGAAUUACUGGGCGUAAAGCGUGCGUAGGUGGUUCGUUGUGUCUGUGGUGAAGCCCCGGGCUAACCUGGGAAUGGCCAUGGAAACUGGCGAGCUGGAGUCUGGCAGAGGGGGGUGGAAUUCCGCGUGUAGCAGUGAAAUGCGUAGAGAUGCGGAGGAACACCGAUGGCGAAGGCAGCCCCCUGGGCUAAGACUGACGCUGAGGCACGAAAGCGUGGGGAGCAAACAGGG
rnacentral:rRNA from 1 species